ACAUUUCUGUUCAUUUCUAAGAGUUGUACUAGACCUCUAACCAGGUGGUUAGUAGUUGAUUUCACAUCUCAUCUAAAAACACUAAAAUGAAACGUACAUAAAAGCUCAGUUAAUGCAAGGAGCAGAAAUUUCAGAAAAGAGGGGAAUGUUAGCAACAUUAAUUAUUUGUUAGCAGUGUCAGUUGAUUCGGAUGACAGAAAAUGCUCCCGUGUAAGGAAGCUAACAAGCAUUAAUUUUGGUUUCCCUUUUAAGACUACUUGAGCUUCCUUUUCAGAUGUUAUUUAAUUUUCUUGUGAAGUGUUUUAAUUUACUCUGACAGCUGCUUUUGCUAUCUUUUUGCAUGUAUUAUCUAGCUUUUGGUGUGAAGGAAUUUCACCUACAUUCCUCUAAUGGCAAGUUCUUUGCUUAGGUUCAUGCUCCCUUGCUCUGGUAUUCUACACUGCUGAGAUAGCAUUGAAGCUGCCAGCUCUCUGUGCCUUUCGGAGAAGGGAGAUAUGCUGUUCUCCAAAGACUAAAGAACUUUUUUCUUUAAUCUUUGUGAAUACCAAAAAUCAGUGAAUCUUUCUGCUUGCCCUUUACUAUUCUCACUUCUAUAAAGGAACUCGUUGAUCUUAAGAUGGUCAAGAGCUGCUUCCACUGUUCCAGGUGGGGCUUCACUAGUCACUUUAUAUCAGACAAUUCUAGUCAUGCCUCACAAAAUCUUUAAGCUAUUGUUUUAAGAGAACGUUCGUUAGCUGCACUAGACUAUUGCAUUAAAAAAAAAUAUGCAUGUCAGUCAUAAGUGUUUCCUUCUACAGUAUUAUUGUAACAUACUGAUUAUUGAAUGUCAUUUUUUCCUGUUUCUCUAGAUGUAUUAGCAGCCUUUAUAUUCAAUGCCUAAAUUUCUUAACCUCCUGUCUUCCAGUGCUUCUGAUCUGUACAUGUCAACCUGAAUGUCACGUCAAUCCUCCUUUCUGUGACUGGUUUUAUAAAAUCACCAUUUUUGUCAUGCUGGUGCAUUUAUUUUUUUCUGUGCAAAGAAAAAAAUGUUCCCAGUACACUGGGUUCAAACUGACAAAUGCCAGUGUUUGUCAUAAAGGCAAUGGUACUUUGGUGCUAUAAACCUCUAACUGCUAGAAAGCGCUAAAUUCAUUGUCUUAAAAAAGCUUAGAUAUCCAUACAGAACACUAAUUAGUAGCAGAUGUUAACUCUUGUGGCAAAAAGCCAGCGAGGCUCCGGCAAAACCUUUCUCAUUGCAGUCAUCACUUUCAUCAUUGGCAAUUGGAUCAGUGGAGCCCCAUGGGGCUGGUUCUUAUGGUGCCUCGGGAGUCACCUCUCACCCUCACCCUGUCUGCUUUCCAGUAUUCAGUCCUGCAGAUUGUUCUUUUUUUCAGUGCAGUAGCAAAAGCCAAACAACUCACGUGCACUGCAUCCAGCUAUUAAUUCUUUAUUACAUCCUUAAGGCUUUGGAGGAGACUAGUAAGCCUCAAGCUGCUGAAUAAAGUUUAAUCUGAGAAUUGGUAGCACCCAGUCUCUCACAGAACUGCAGCCUUAUUCAUAAUUUUGUUGCUUCCUUUCCGCAGCAUUCACAUUCUCCAACGUAACAUUUUCUGAUGUACUUUCUAUUGCAAAUGUCAGUUCUCCUCUCAGAUAUGUACAAAUCAAAUUACUCCAAUGAAGUCAAUAGAAUUUUAUUGUUACAGAACAGUGAGUUCCACACCAGGCCUUUUAAACCUGUAGGUUCUCACUGUAAAUUGAUGAACAACUUGUCUGUUCCUAGGUCUCUUGAGCUAUCCUCUGGUCUCAGGGAAAACGGUAUCUAUGUGGAUACUCACGUAUGAACACACCAAACUUGGUUUGCGUGCCUGUUCUCAACAGUUUCUUCAUGCUUCAUAUUCUAAUCACCUACUGACUGCCAGAGAUUGCACAGAGGUCAAAGUCCCACUGCCCAGUGUCAUCACAUUCAAAUCCCACAGUAACCUGAAUAGGGAAGUAAUGCUGUGUACAUGACUGAUGUCAUCUCAGUACAGAGCAGCCCAAGCCCUAACACAGCUAUGUCACCAUGAACUAUGUGGUCAUACCUACAUCACAAAGUAAAGCAGCCAUAUCAAAUGGGAUCGUGUCUGUACUUCACUCAGAGGUCUGCAGUGGCCUGAAGCUGCAGUCCAUCAUGAGUUCAGUCGUUUCCUUAAUAUCACACGACUUGAGCACUCUGUAACCUAAGAGCUGGCUUUCAUCUUUCCAUAAAGAAGUAACUGGAACCAGUGCUGUCUCACCAAGGCUAUGCUGUGAGCCUGUCGUAUAAGCAAGUGUGAGCAGUAAACCAGCUGUGUGUCUGUGAGCACACCAGGAUUUGGAUUUGAGCAUCCAGUGGCGUUUGAAUGGUCUUGCCUGAAAGUGUUGGUUGAUCUGGAGAAACACAGUCCCGUUCCUACCACUGCAAUCUGCUGACCAGACCAGCGUGGCUGUAAAUGAGAACUCCACUAGAGAAACUAUUCGAGCAAAAACAAACUGUGAAAUACAAGCAAAUGUUUUACACACUUCAGUGGGGCAGGAUGUCACCAACUGGUUUUCCUAUCAGCCAGUCUGGUGUUCAGGGAACUCUUUGGAGUAUGAACUUCAAAGUGGUGUCUGGCACAUGUAACUCACUGAAGUAGGAAAAUUCCCAGUGGAUUGACAGAUUAUUAUCUUUUAAUGACAGUGCUAGAGUUGGUACAAAAAAAACAUUUUGUAUUACCCAAAACUGUAACCAUGACUUGAAAUAAACAGGCCUCACAUGGCAGUCCUCAUAAAAUCGGUGGGAAGGGUACAGUGUCUUACAGUACAGCAUGAGAACUGUAAGGAUGAACUUAGUUGGAGUUGAAAAAGAACAAAGCUCACACAAGGGCUUUUAAAAGUCAAAACAAGCUAAUCACUAAGUUAAUAAAAUAUCUUAGCUACUAGGGUGGAGAAAAUCCUUGGUUUAA